rnacentral:rRNA from 1 species
AUUGAACGCUGGCGGCAGGCCUAACACAUGCAAGUCGAACGGUAGCACAGAGAGCUUGCUCUCGGGUGACGAGUGGCGGACGGGUGAGUAACGUCUGGGAAACUGCCCGAUGGAGGGGGAUAACUACUGGAAACGGUAGCUAAUACCGCAUAACGUCGCAAGACCAAAGUGGGGGACCUUCGGGCCUCACACCAUCGGAUGUGCCCAGAUGGGAUUAGCUAGGAGGUGGGGUAAUGGCUCACCUAGGCGACGGUCCCUAGCUGGGCUGAGAGGAUGACCCGCCACACGGUAGCUGAGGCACAGUCCAGACUCCUACGGGAGGCAGCAGUGGGGAAUAUUGCACAAUGGGCGCAAGCCUGAUGCAGCCAUGCCGGGUGUAUGAAGAAGGCCUUCGGGUUGUAAAGUACUUUCAGCGGGGAGGAAGGCGGUGAAAUUAAUAGCUUAACCGAUUGACGUUACCGGCAGAAGAAGCACCGGCUAACUCCGUGCCAGCAGCCGCCGUAA